rnacentral:ncRNA from 1 species
UCACGUACCCCGGGGAGCGAGCUUCCCCACUUCGAUGUUUCGAAAGUGGGCGAAAAAAUUCGCUGAGAGGGAUGGGUAGCGCCAUCCGACCCGUUGAACCUGAACCCGGUAAUACGGGCGGAGGGAAGGGAGCCCGAGCCGCAA